rnacentral:rRNA from 1 species
CCUACGGGGGGCAGCAGUGGGGAAUAUUGCACAAUGGGCGCAAGCCUGAUGCAGCCAUGCCGCGUGUGUGAAGAAGGCCUUCGGGUUGUAAAGCACUUUCAGCGGGGAGGAAGGCGUUAAGGUUAAUAACCUUGUCGAUUGACGUUACCCGCAGAAGAAGCACCGGCUAACUCCGUGCCAGCAGCCGCGGUAAUACGGAGGGUGCAAGCGUUAAUCGGAAUUACUGGGCGUAAAGCGCACGCAGGCGGUCUGUCAAGUCGGAUGUGAAAUCCCCGGGCUCAACCUGGGAACUGCAUUCGAAACUGGCAGGCUAGAGUCUUGUAGAGGGGGGUAGAAUUCCAGGUGUAGCGGUGAAAUGCGUAGAGAUCUGGAGGAGUACCGGUGGCGAAGGCGGUCCCCUGGACAAAGACUGACGCUCAGGUGCGAAAGCGUGGGGAGCAAACAGGAUUAGAUACCCGGGUAGUC